UACGAAGGGGGCUAGCGUUGCUCGGAAUGACUGGGCGUAAAGGGCGCGUAGGCGGAUGGCACAGUCAGAUGUGAAAUUCCCGGGCUUAACCUGGGGGCUGCAUUUGAUACGUGUUGUCUUGAGUUCGGAAGAGGGUCGUGGAAUUCCCAGUGUAGAGGUGAAAUUCGUAGAUAUUGGGAAGAACACCGGUGGCGAAGGCGGCUUGCUGGGCAUGAUCUGACGCUGAGGCGCGAAAGCGUGGGGAGCGAACAGG
rnacentral:rRNA from 1 species